rnacentral:rRNA from 1 species
AACCUGGUUGAUCCUGCCAGUAGUCAUAUGCUUAUCUCAAAGAUUAAGCCAUGCAUGUCUAAGUUCAGGAUGGGUCAGUUUCCGGCGGAUUUCUUCGGAAUGAAGUCUCGAUUCUGUACCAUUAAAUCUGAAACUGCGUACGGCUCAGUAUAACAGUAAUAACCUAUGGGUUUGGCUUUCCUUACAAGGAUAACUAUGGUAACUCCAUAGCUAAUACUUGACUUCUGAAUUUUUAGUUCAACAAGUUGUUCUCAACUUGUUCAGGAACGAUAAAAACUCAUUAUCAAAGAGACCUCCCCUUCGGGCGCUUGCAUGGUUGUUGAUCGAACUCCUGGGUUCCUGACCUAUCAGCUUGAUGCUAGUUUAAGUAACUAGGGUAGCGAUCACGGGUAACGGGGAAUUGGUGUUCGAUUCCGGAGAGGGAGCCUGAGAGACGGCUACCACGUCUACGGACGGCAGCAGGCGCGCAAAUUACCCAAUCUUAAUACAUAAAGGAGGUAGUGACGAGAAAUAUCGAUCUUACUAAACGUAAGUUUGAAAUGAUUGGAAUUUAAACCAUUCCAAAAAAACAAUUGGAGGGAAAGUCUGGUGCCAGCAUCCGCGGUAAUACCAGCUCCAAGAGUGUAUAUUAAUGCUGUGCAGUUAAAACGUUCGUAGUUAAAAGACUGGGCUAGCUGGCGCUCAAUGUUAAGCUGUUCACUGGGGGCUUCGUGCUUUUACCUCGAGAGAGGUAAGGUCAGUCCUGCGAAUUUCCUUUUCGUAGGUACUGAUUUCUCAUUGAACGGUUUUUCAUAUGCGUAUGAAGUCAUACAUAAUGUAGGCUUCAACGAUGGGCGUUAAAAAUUAACGACUGAAUUAAUUAACUUGAUUUUUUAAUUCAGCCGUUAAUUCUCGGCUAGCCCACCCUUAGAGGAAAAUAACGGGUUCAGCUCCGGCUGGGCUCAUAUGUUAUUUCCUCGCGGAGCUGUGAACAAAUCAUAGUGCUCAAGGCAAGCAAGUCAAUAGCUUAUGUGUGAAUUAGCAUGGUACUCCAACGUCAGUUUCUUUGGCUACAGUUAAUUUUAGGGGGAUCCGUCCUGCCGAACUUAACUUUCACCUUCGGGUGAGGCCAAAGAUACGAGGUAAAUGGGAGUGGGCAGGGCCUUUCGUAUUACUGGGCGAGAGGUGAAAUUCUUAGACCCUGGAAAGACGGUCUACUGCGAAAGCAAAAGGCCGGUACUCUCCCGUCAAUCAGGAACGAAAGUUGGGGGCGCGAAGACGAUUAGAUACCGUCGUAGUCCUAACCGUAAACUAUACCAACCAAGGGUUGAGAUAGUAUUAUAUCUCACCUUCCUCAGAACUUUUUCGGGAAACCAUUGAGUUUCUGGGUUCUGGGGGGAGUAUGGUCGCAAGACUGAAACUUAAAGAAAUUGACGGAAGGGCACCACAAGGAGUGGAGUUUGCGGCUCAAUUUGACUCAACGCGGGAAAACUUACCAGGUCCAGACACAAGUAGGAUUGACAGGUUGAUAGCCCUUUCUUGAUUUUGUGGUUGGUGGUGCAUGGCCGUUCUUAGUUGGUGGAGUGAUUUGUCUGCUUAAUUGCGUUAACGAACGAGACCUUCGCCUAUUAAACUUCGCACUGACUCCAGAUAUGAUUUUCGAAUCAUAUUGUAAUGGAGUUAGUUGGUAUAUACCAGUCCACUCAUGUGGAUCUGCUUCUUAGAGGGACUUUGUACGUUUAAAUUUUUAAUUUAGUACAAGGAAGCGGAAGGCUAUAACAGGUCUGUAAUGCCCUUAGAUGUUCUGGGCUGCACGCGCACUACAAUGUGACUGACAACGAGCAUAUUCCGUAGAAAAAGUAUUUCCAUUCCAAACACUAUGACAAUUAUCUUCGAUACUUGUCUUAGUGGGAUAUACUUUUUCUCGGCCUGCAUUGAAAAGUGCGGGGACACUUGUUAAACGGUUACAAAUCUGGGAUUGAUGCUUGUAAUUUUUCAGCAUGAACCAGGAAUUCCUAGUAGGGGCAAGUCAACAACUUGCGCCGAAUACGUCCCUGCCCUUUGUACACACCGCCCGUCGCUCCUACCGGUUGAAUGGCCAGGUGAACUUAUUCGGAUGUAACUUUUUAAGUUACAGAAGGUAAGUAAAUCUUGCCAUUCGCAGGAAGGAGAAGUCGUAAUCAAGGUUAUCGUAGGUGAACCUGCAGAAGGAUCA